GAGGUUUGAGGUUAAGCUCCCUCAUGCUAAGUAUUGUUUGUGUGUUUGUCUAGACUAGGGCGAGUGAUUGUUAUGCUUUGAGUCUAGAUGUGCGUGGAGGUUAGAGGUGGAGCUCCCUCACGCUUGUUGCUUGUUUGUGUGGCAUCUAGACAAAAGCAUGGGCCAUCUCGGGGUUAGAUUAGGGAAAGCCUAAUUCUCCGAAGGUGUUCGAGACCAUGGAGUUAGAUUGGGCGAUACCCAAUUCUCUAGUGGUGGAGUGAUCUACUCUCCAUGGCUUGUCACAUGAAGUGGGUCGCGCCCAUGGACAAGCGCUGCAUGACGAUGCGGCCCGGGUUAGAUUGGGAGAAGCCUAAUUCCCG
rnacentral:lncRNA from 1 species